UUUAGUCAGGUGAUGAAGGAAAAGUGCAUAGUUCAAAUGAUAACCUCCUUGAGGGAGUGUUGUGAUUACACAUCAUUUCGCCCCUAUCUGAUGGCUAAA